AAUCACCUGUCUUUUAAAUGAAGACCUGUAUGAACGGUCUGACGAGGACUAAACUGUCUCCUUUUUCUGAUCAAUGAAAUUGAUCUCCCCGCGCAAAAGCGGGGAUGACUAUAUAAGACGAGAAGACCCUGUGGAGCUUAAGAUAACUUUAUAUAUUUUAAACAAAGCCUAAGAAAAGCUUCAAGCCAAAAUUCUUAUUAAAGCAUCUUCAGUUGGGGCGACUAAGGAGAAUACAAACCCUCCACGAAGACUAGGAAUACUAUUUCCCUAAACCUAGAAUUAACCAUUCAAAGCAAUAGAAUAUCUAACUUCCAUUGAUCCAAUCCGUUGAUCAACGAACAAAGUUACCCCAGGGAUAACAGCGCAAUCCUCUUUAAGAGCCCCUAUCGACAAGAGGGUUUACGACCUCGAUGUUGGAUCAGGACAUCCUAAUGGUGUAGCCGCUAUUAAGGGUUCGUUUGUUCAACGACUAA
rnacentral:rRNA from 1 species